rnacentral:rRNA from 1 species
CUAACGGCUGAACUGGCAACUGGAGAAGUGGCAAGUCCUAUUUUGAUCGUAUCUUUGAAUAUGAUCUAUAGGAUUGUAUUAAAAUUGAAUAAAGCUUUGYUUAUAUAUUGAUAAUGACAGUAUAUAUAUCGUGUCUUGACUAAUUGCGUGCCAGCAGUCGCGGUAAUACGUAAGAGACUAGUGUUAUUCAUCUUAAUUAGGUUUAAAGGGUACCUAGACGGUCAAUAUAACUUCUAGAAUGUUAGUACUUGACUAGAGUUUUAUGUAAGAGGGCAGUACUUGAGGAGGAGAGAUSAAAUUCUAUGAUACCAAAGGGACUCGGUAAAGGCGAAGGCAGCCCUCUAUGCGAAAACUGACGUUAAAGGACGAAGGCACAGAGCACAAACAGGAUUAGAUACCCAAGUAGUCUUUGCAGUAAAUGAUGAAUGCCAUAGGUUAGAUUAAGAUUUAAUAUUUUAAUUUUAAAUUAAAUAUUAAACAUUAUUUGGUCUAUAAAUGAAAGUGUAAGCAUUUCACCUCAAGAGUAAUGUGGCAACG